AUCCCUUCUCUCUUCCUUGGUGCUUCUUUUUCCUGCUCGGUGAGUUUGUUUGUUUGUUUGUUUUUGAGACAGAGUCUCACUUUGCUUCCCAGGCUGGAGUGCAGUGGUGCGAUCUCAGCUUACUGCAGCCUCCGCUUCCGGGGUUCAAGCGAUUCUCCUGCCUCAGCCUGCCAAGUAGCUGGGACUACCGGCGCCCACCACCACGCCUGGCUAAUUUUUGAAUUUUUAGUAGAGAGUGGGUUUCACUAUGUUGGCCAGGCUGGUCUGGAACGCCUGACCUCAAGUGAUCCGUCCGCCUCGGCCUUCCAAAGUUCUGGGAUUACAGGCGUGAGCCACCGCGCCCGGCCUGAGUGAGUCUUAAUCCGUGGCCAUCUGCGUUCCUGCAGGCUUCAUCUGGCCCUAUGGUCCCCUGGCAUCAUGGCUGCCCUCAGAUCCCUUGUGAAGCCCAAGAUCGUCAAAAAGAGAACCAAGAAAUUCAUCCGGCACCAGUCAGACCGAUAUGUCAAAAUCAAGAUGAGAAGAAUAAUGUCUGGGGUGAAGGUGAAGCACCCAGCCCAAGACUCAGCAGCCAGGAAGUGGCCCAGCGCUCUUUAUACCACGGGUGCAGGAAUUCACACAGAAAAGUGGAGGCCAAGGCGUGAGAAUUCCUCAAUGACUGCCCUCUAAAGGAAGAGGUGAGUGUGGGGCCUGCUCUGAGUGCUA
rnacentral:lncRNA from 10 species